UACGUAGGGUGCAAGCGUUGUCCGGAAUUAUUGGGCGUAAAGAGCUCGUAGGCGGUUCGUCGCGUCGGCUGUGAAAACCCGGAGCUCAACUCCGGGCCUGCAGUCGAUACGGGCGGACUUGAGUGUUGCAGGGGAGACUGGAAUUCCUGGUGUAGCGGUGAAAUGCGCAGAUAUCAGGAGGAACACCGGUGGCGAAGGCGGCAUCCUGGACCGGCAUUGACGCUGAGGCGCGAAAGCUAGGGGAGCAAACGGG
rnacentral:rRNA from 1 species